GGGGAUAUAGCUCAUUUGGUAGAGCGUUUGCCUUGCAUGCAUAAGUCCCUGAGUUCAAUUCCCAACACCA
rnacentral:tRNA from 1 species